rnacentral:rRNA from 1 species
GACGAACGCUGGCGGCGUGCUUAACACAUGCAAGUCGAACGGAAAGGCCCUGCUGUUGUGGGGUGCUCGAGUGGCGAACGGGUGAGUAACACGUGAGUAACCUGCCCUUGACAUUGGGAUAACUUCAGGAGACUGGGGCUAAUACCCGAUAGGAGCUCCUGCUGCAUGGUGGGGGUUGGAAAGUUUCGGCGGUUGGGGAUGGACUCGCGGCCUAUCAGCUUGUUGGUGGGGUAGUGGCUUACCAAGGCUUUGACGGGUAGCCGGCCUGAGAGGGUGACCGGCCACAUUGGGACUGAGAUACGGCCCAGACUCCUACGGGAGGCAGCAGUGGGGAAUAUUGCACAAUGGGCGGAAGCCUGAUGCAGCAACGCCGCGUGCGGGAUGACGGCCUUCGGGUUGUAAACCGCUUUCGCCUGUGACGAAGCGUGAGUGACGGUAAUGGGUAAAGAAGCACCGGCUAACUACGUG